GCAACGAGCGCAACCCCUACGUUUAGUUGCUAACGCGUGAAGGCGAGCACUCUAGACGAACUGCCGUUGACAAAACGGAGGAAGUGGGGAUGACGUCAAAUCAUCAUGCCCCUUAUGUUCUGGGCUACACACGUGCUACAAUGGCCGGUACAGACGGACGCAAAGCCGCGAGGUGGAGCAAAUCCUAAAAAGCCGGUCUCAGUUCGGAUUGCAGGCUGCAAUUCGCCUGCAUGAAGUCGGAAUCGCUAGUAAUCGCAGGUCAGCAUACUGCGGUGAAUACGUUCCCGGGCCUU
rnacentral:rRNA from 1 species